rfam:Echinostoma caproni strain Egypt genome assembly, scaffold: ECPE_scaffold0023713
GCAUUGCUGACGAGUCCCAAACAGGACGAAACAGCUGCUCGGUGC